rnacentral:lncRNA from 1 species
AUAUUAUACGAUACCUCGAGCAAUGUAACAAUAAAUACAUUGAACGAGUCAAAUGAUCAUUAUAGUGAAUCCAAUACAAACUGUAAUAAAAAUAAUAUAAUUAAAACAUAUAGUAAAGAAAAAUAUAAAAACGUUGUAAUUAUGAACUCAAAUUAUAAUUCUUUAGAUGAAAACUGUUUUGAUUAUAACUUGGAUUUACAUGAUAAAAAUGGCACUGGUAAUAACAACUUGACGAAUGAUACAAAUAAGUUAUGUGAUACAUGCAAUUCAGAAUUUAACGACGUAUGUGUUAACAGUGACGUAUGUAACAAUAGCGACGUAUGCAAUAAUAGCGACACACUCGAGGAUAAUCACGCUGCACCAUCUAACGACACUAAAGAAUACCCACAAUCGAACAAUUUUUUAGAUACUAAAACAUUAAAGAACAAAUUAAAUAUGGAAUCAUUUAAAAACAAUUUAUUUUCUUUUAGUGAAUCUAAAAAUAAUGUAUUAGAUGCAAAAAAAGCAACAGUUUUAAUGCCAAUAGUAAAAUCACCUUUUCACAAUUUCCAUUUAUGUCUUAAUACUAUACAAAAUGAAAAAGUAUCUAUAUUUUCAAAUACAGUUAAAUUACCAAAUAUGUAUACACUUCUUAAUAGAUUUACAUUAUGCUUGAAUGUAAUUCAAAUGCUAGUUGGAACUUUUACAAUGAUAUAUGAAAAAGCAAAUUAUGCUUUUAAUUGGGAUUUUGAUUUUUAUACACUUAUAAAUUUAAUCAUUCUUUUUUUAAUAUGUUAUAUUUUAUCUUUUAUAUUUUAUUUAUUAUCGCUAAUUCCACUAGUCUUUUAUCGUUUUAUUUUAUUUUUUGUUGUAUCAUAUUUAAUUAUUAAAAGUUAUGAGUAUACAGAAGGAUAUACGCAGAAUUUGAGUUUGUUAAACGAAAAACGAGCACAAGCAGCAAAAGCAGACCUCAGCACGGUUCUAAACUAUCGUAAUAAUAGUAGUGGUAAUAGUGGUAGCAGUGCUAGUAGUGGCAGUAUUGGUAGUAGUAGUAGUAGUAGUAGUGGUAGUAGUAGUAACAGUAGCAGUAGUAGUAGCCAUCGUAAGAACGUUUACCAUGUUACCAAUACCGGUGGUUACAAAAAAAAAGUAGGACACAAUAUUAUAUACAAAUAUAAUAAAUUAUUAGUUAUGAAAUUAAAAA